UGGGGAAUAUUGGACAAUGGGCGAAAGCCUGAUCCAGCCAUGCCGCGUGUGUGAAGAAGGUCUUCGGAUUGUAAAGCACUUUAAGUUGGGAGGAAGGGCAGUAAGCGAAUACCUUGCUGUUUUGACGUUACCGACAGAAUAAGCACCGGCUAACUCUGUGCCAGCAGCCGCGGUAAUACAGAGGGUGCAAGCGUUAAUCGGAUUUACUGGGCGUAAAGCGUGCGUAGGUGGUUCGUUAAGUUGAAUGUGAAAGCCCCGGGCUCAACCUGGGAACUGCAUCCAAAACUGGCGAGCUAGAGUAGGGCAGAGGGUGGUGGAAUUUCCUGUGUAGCGGUGAAAUGCGUAGAUAUAGGAAGGAACACCAGUGGCGAAGGCGACCACCUGGGCUCAUACUGACACUGAGGUGCGAAAGCGUGGGGAGCAAACAGG
rnacentral:rRNA from 1 species